AGGUCGAGUUCGUAACUGAGCAACAUAGAUCAAUUGAGUCUUGGGAACCUUGCGGUCUGCUCAAAGUCAACCACUUUUUUUCAGACAUCUAGUGCAAAAUGAAAUUGUGAAAAAACUAUUGGACCGAAUGAAACGUUCCAAAGUUAAUUUUGUUCUUCGAGGUAUC